AUUGAACGCUGGCGGCAUGCUUUACACAUGCAAGUCGAGCGGUAACAGGCCUUCGGGUGCUGACGAGUGGCGAACGGGUGAGUAAUGCAUCGGAACGUACCCAGAGGUGGGGGAUAGCGCAGCGAAAGCUGUGCUAAUACCGCAUGUGAUCUGAGGAUGAAAGCGGGGGACCGAGCAGCAAUGUUUGGCCUCGCGCCUUUGGAGCGGCCGAUGUCGGAUUAGCUAGUUGGUGGGGUAAAGGCCUACCAAGGCGACGAUCCGUAGCUGGUCUGAGAGGACGACCAGCCACACUGGGACUGAGACACGGCCCAGACUCCUACGGGAGGCAGCAGUGGGGAAUUUUGGACAAUGGGCGCAAGCCUGAUCCAGCAAUGCCGCGUGCGGGAAGAAGGCCUUCGGGUUGUAAACCGCUUUUGGCAGGAACGAAACGGUGUCCGCUAAUACCGGGCGCUAAUGACGGUACCUGCAGAAUAAGCACCGGCUAACUACGUG
rnacentral:rRNA from 1 species